AGUAACACGUGGAUAACCUGCCUCACACUGGGGGAUAACAGUUAGAAAUGACUGCUAAUGCCGCAUAAGCGCACAGUACCGCAUGGUACAGUGUGAAAAACUCCGGUGGUGUGAGAUGGAUCCGCGUCUGAUUAGCCAGUUGGCGGGGUAACGGCCCACCAAAGCGACGAUCAGUAGCCGACCUGAGAGGGUGACCGGCCACAUUGGGACUGAGACACGGCCCAA
rnacentral:rRNA from 1 species